AACUAAGUUUGUUCUUGGUAUAAGCUUUUGUGUGCAUGCACACUUCUUUGGAUACCUGAAGAAUACCUGAAGAAGUGUGCAUGCACACGAAAGCUUAUACCAAGAACAAACUUAGUUGG
rnacentral:miRNA from 1 species